rnacentral:rRNA from 1 species
UACGAAGGGGGCAAGCGUUGUCCGGAUUUAUUGGGCGUAAAGAGCGUGUAGGCGGCCAAGCAGGUCCGCUGUGAAAACUCGAGGCUCAACCUCGAGACGUCGGUGGAAACCGUUUGGCUAGAGUCCGGAAGAGGAGAGUGGAAUUCCCGGUGUAGCGGUGAAAUGCGCAGAUAUCGGGAAGAACACCCGUGGCGAAGGCGGCUCUCUGGGACGGUACUGACGCUGAGACGCGAAAGCUAGGGGAGCAAACGGG